GUAUCAAUCAAAUUCAUAAUCAAUUGAAUGAUAUGUCGACACAAUUAAACCUAAUUCAUGACGAGUUGGAUUCAGUAAAUCAAACACUUAACAGUUCAAUGGCAACUAUAAACAAAUCAUAUCAACUCCUUAAAACUGAGAGUUGGCGUCAAUCGACACCGAGACAUAUGUUGGUCAAACCCGGRAGGUUCUGGUUAUAUGCUUUGGUUAUAUUGGCCAUCAAUAAUGGCAUUUGGA